GUGCUCGCUUCAGCAGCACACAAACUAAAAUUGGAACAAUACAGAGAAGAUUAACUUGGCCCUUCCACAAGGGUGAAACGCAAAUUCGUGAAGCGUUCCAUGUUUUC
ensembl:snRNA U6 U6 spliceosomal RNA